rnacentral:rRNA from 1 species
AGAACCUUACCUGGUCUUGACAUCCGAGAAUUUCUGGAAACAGAGAAGUGCCUCGCAAGAGGAAUUCGGAGACAGGUGCUGCAUGGCUGUCGUCAGCUCGUGUCGUGAGAUGUUCGGGUUAAGUCCCACAACGAGCGCAACCCUUGUCUUUAGUUGCCAUCAUUAAGUUGGGCACUCUAAAGAGACUGCCGGUGUCAAACCGGAGGAAGGUGGGGAUGACGUCAAGUCCUCAUGGCCUUUAUGACCAGGGCUACACACGUACUACAAUGGCAGGUACAAAGGGCAGCCACUUAGCGAUAAGGCGCGAAUCCCGUAAAACCUGUCUCAGUCCGGAUUGGAGUCUGCAACUCGACUCCAUGAAGUUGGAAUCGCUAGUAAUCGCAGAUCAGCACGCUGCGGUGAAUACGUUCCCGGGCCUU